GAUGAACGCUGGCGGCGUGCCUAAUACAUGCAGGUAGAACGCUGAAGGAAGGAGCUUGCUCUUUCCGGAUGAGUUGCGAACGGGUGAGUAACGCGUAGGUAACCUGCCUGGUAGCGGGGGAUAACUAUUGGAAACGAUAGCUAAUACCGCAUAACAGUAGGUGUUGCAUGAUAUCUACUUAAAAGGUGCAAUUGCACCACUACCAGAUGGACCUGCGUUGUAUUAGCUAGUUGGUGAGGUAACGGCUCACCAAGGCGACGAUACAUAGCCGACCUGAGAGGGUGAUCGGCCACACUGGGACUGAGACACGGCCCAGACUCCUACGGGAGGCAGCAGUAGGGAAUCUUCGGCAAUGGACGGAAGUCUGACCGAGCAACGCCGCGUGAGUGAAGAAGGUUUUCGGAUCGUAAAGCUCUGUUGUAAGAGAAGAACGAGUGUGAGAGUGGAAAGUUCACACUGUGACGGUAUCUUAACAGAAAGGGACGGCUAACUACGUG
rnacentral:rRNA from 1 species